rnacentral:rRNA from 1 species
GGCGAACGCUGGCGGUGGGCCUAACACAUGCAAGUCGAACGGAAGCGCCCUGCUAUUUUGGGGUUCCCGGUUGGCGAAGGGGUGAGUAACAGGUGUGUAACCUGCCCUUCACUUUCGGAUGACUUCACGAAACUGGGGCUAAUAUCGGAUAGCAGCCCCUCCUCCGUGGUGAGGGUUGGAACUUUUCGGUUGUUGCGGAUGGAUGCGCGGCUUAUCAGCUUGUUGGUGGGCUAGUGGCUUACCAAGGCUGUGACGGGUCGCCGGCCUGAGAGGGUGAACGGCGACAUGGGGACUGAGAUAGGGCGCAGACUCGAACGGGAGGCAGCAGGGGGAAGUAUUGUACAGUGGGAGGAAGCCUGAUGCAGAAGCGUUGGGUGCGGGAUGACGGCCUGCGGGUAGAAAAACGCUUUCGCCUGAGACGAAGCGUGAGUGACGGUAACGGGUAAAGAAGCACCGGCUAACUACGUG